rnacentral:lncRNA from 1 species
AGCUGUACUGCAGAAGGAUCCGAGUGGCCUGCGUGCGUUUUGCUGGCGAGACGGUAGCGUGGGUCAACCCAGUACUGUAUACUUUUGUAAAAAAGCUAAAGCCAUGCUGGAAGUUUACAAUGGAAACACAGGAACAAAAAAAUGGAGCAGACACUGAAAGUAAGUCCAUCCAGAGACCACCCCACCGUGUGAUCCAUCCCAUCUGCAGACACCAAACCGGGACACUUUUGCUGAUGUCAAGAAGUGCUUGCAGAUAGGAGCCUGGGAUGGCUGUCCUCUGAGAGACUCUAUCAGCAUCUGACUAAGACAGAUGCAGAUAUUCACAGCCAACCAUUGAACUGAGCCCAGGGACCCUAAUGGAAGAGUUAAGAAGGAUUGAAGGAGCUGAAGUGGAUGGCAACCCCAUAAGAAGAACAAGAAUAUCAACUAGUCCCCUCAGAGCUCCCAGGGACUAAAACACAAACCAAAUAGUAUACAUGUGUGGGUCCAUGGCUCCAGCUACAUAUGGCCUUACUUGGCAUCAAUGGGAGGGGAGGCUCUUGGUCCUGUGGAGUCUCAACGCCCCAGAGAAGGAGAAUGCUGGAGGGGUGAGCCGGGAGUGGGUAGGUGAUUAGGGGAGCACCCUUUUAGAGGUAAAAGGGAGGGAGAAUGGGGUGAGGUGGGUUUUGAAGGGGAGACCAGGAAGGAGACGUGUAAUGUAAUGUAAAUAAAUAAAAUAAUAUAUAUUUUUAAAAAUGUAUUCUUUCCCUAAAUCUCAGUCUCUUUGCUGACUUUAUCAUCUCUAUUCCUCAACUCUUCUCUGCAUCUGAGUUAAUU